UCAGUGUCUGGUGAGAGCCCACUUCCUGGUUCAUAGAUGGCUGUCUUCUCGCUGUGCCCUCACGCGGCAGGAGAGGUAAGAUGUGUUGCCUCAAGCUCUAUUUGAAAAGGCAUCUGGUGAGUUCUAGACUGCCUCUGAAUAGUUUAUCCGUCAGCACAAACACCUGGAGGAAGGAAACUGCUGCACCGGAGAACGGCUUUUCUGCCCCUGGGUGAAGGCUGGGCCGUCUCGGCAAAGGAGGCCAGACAAGCUCUCGCAAAUCAGGAAAAUGGAGAGAUAAAUUCGGCUGUAUUUGUGCUGCUAUGCGGAAAUGAGAAUAAGCACUCUACAACUACACGGAGUAAGAAAGACGGAUCUCACAAAUGUAAGUAAUGCCUGAAAGAGUUCAGGAAAAAGAGCACAUGCUGUGCGAUCCUCUUAUG